rnacentral:rRNA from 1 species
UACGUAGGGUGCGAGCGUUAAUCGGAAUUACUGGGCGUAAAGCGUGCGUAGACGGCUAUCUAAGUCGGGUGUGAAAGCCCCCGGGCUCAACCUGGGAAUUGCAUUCGAGACUGAAUAGCUAGGGUACGGUAGAGGGAAGCGGAAUUUCCGGUGUAGCGGUGAAAUGCGUAGAUAUCGGAAGGAACAUCAGUGGCGAAAGGCGGCUUCCUG